UGGUCACAUUGUGUUGAAACACCGGUUCCCGAAUGAUCACCAAAGUUAAGCAACACUGAGCCUGGUUAGUACCCAUAUUGGUGACCGCUUGGGAAUACCAGGUGCUGGA